rnacentral:rRNA from 1 species
AGCGAACGCUGGCGGCAGGCCUAACACAUGCAAGUCGAACGAACUCUUCGGAGUUGUUGGCGGACGGGUGAGUAACACGUGGGAACGUGCCUUUAGGUUCGGAAUAACUCAGGGAAACUUGUGCUAAUACCGAAUGUGCCCUUCGGGGGAAAGAUUUAUCGCCUUUAGAGCGGCCCGCGUCUGAUUAGCUAGUUGGUGAGGUAAAGGCUCACCAAGGCGACGAUCAGUAGCUGGUCUGAGAGGAUGAUCAGCCACAUUGGGACUGAGACACGGCCCAAACUCCUACGGGAGGCAGCAGUGGGGAAUCUUGCGCAAUGGGCGAAAGCCUGACGCAGCCAUGCCGCGUGAAUGAUGAAGGUCUUAGGAUUGUAAAAUUCUUUCACCGGGGACGAUAAUGACGGUACCCGGAGAAGAAGCCCCGGCUAACUUCGUG